AGGGUUUGUCAAGAUUGAAGAACUGAAGUUUAGUUCAUUAGCGUUUGAAGAAGAACUAAUCAGAGUUGGUUUAGGAAAACUAAGAAGGUGUCGGUGGGGUAGUGACUUAUGUAACAAAUUCAACUAAUCAGAGUUGGUUUAGGAAAACUAAGAAGGUUACCAUGGUUGAAAUCUCAGAAGAUGAUUCUGCUUCUAAUCUUCCAAUUAUACAUGGAGUGGCAUCACAAAUGGGACCUCCCCCUCCACGUCCACCGCGUUCUGGACAAGUGCAUGGACCAUCAGCAGGGACAGGGAGUACCGCUGGC